rnacentral:rRNA from 1 species
UACCGAGGGUGCAAGCGUUAAUCGGAAUUACUGGGCGUAAAGCGCACGUAGGCGGCUAUGUAAGUCAGGUGUGAAAUCCCCGGGCUCAACCUGGGAACUGCACUUGGGACUGCAUGGCUAGAGUAUGGGAGAGGAAGGCGGAAUUCCCGGUGUAGCGGUGAAAUGCGUAGAUAUCGGGAGGAACAUCAGUGGCGAAAGCGGCCUUCUGGCCCGAUACUGACGCUCAGGUGCGAAAGCGUGGGGAGCAAACCGG